UAGGCCUAACACAUGCAAGUCGAGCGGGGUUUUCGGACCUAGCGGCGGACGGGUGAGUAAUGCGUAGGAAGCUACCCGAUAGAGGGGGAUACCAGUUGGAAACGACUGUUAAUACCGCAUAAUGUCUACGGACCAAAGUGUGGGACCUUCGGGCCACAUGCUAUCGGAUGCGCCUACGUGGGAUUAGCUAGUUGGUGAGGUAAUGGCUCACCAAGGCGACGAUCUCUAGCUGGUUUGAGAGGAUGAUCAGCCACACUGGAAGUGAGACACGGUCCAGACUCCUACGGGAGGCAGCAGUGGGGAAUAUUGGACAAUGGGCGCAAGCC
rnacentral:rRNA from 1 species